CAUACGAGAAACUGGAAGGAAGAUUCAUUUCAAUACAGUAAAAGAAAACAUGAAGAACAGCUCUAUUCCUCAUUGCAUCGUCGUCGUUUUUGGGUAUCCUGUGUGUGAAUCAUAGCUCUUUUCCCUCCUCACUGUGUCGUCUCCGUGUGCGAAUCAUAGGGUACUAGUUUGGCCAGUUUUACCCAUUUUUUGUGGUCCAUCUCUGUUCGACCAGUUUGACAGAGAAGAAGGUUGUUAUACUGAAGCGCCAAUAUAUAGCUCUACUUGGGAUUGUCAACAUGGAAAAAUGAGAAGAACACUCAUCUUCUCUUACACCAUCUAGCUCAAAUCCUUCAACUACUCUAAACCUUUCAAAUUACAUGCACGGUUGGCAUAGACUAAUGCCUGCAUGGUCACUAGCUUUUAUGCCAUACCCAGAUGGCAACCAAUAUCCAAGCAACAUUUAGAAUGUUGGUUACCAUUUUUAGUAUGAGAUGAGACCUCCGAUUCAUCUCAUCACUACAAGCUCCC